GACGAACGCUGGCGGCGUGCUUAACACAUGCAAGUCGAACGGAAAGGCCCUGCUUUUGUGGGGUGCUCGAGUGGCGAACGGGUGAGUAACACGUGAGUAACCUGCCCUUGACUUUGGGAUAACUUCAGGAAACUGGGGCUAAUACCGGAUAGGAGCUCCUGCUGCAUGGUGGGGGUUGGAAAGUUUCGGCGGUUGGGGAUGGACUCGCGGCUUAUCAGCUUGUUGGUGGGGUAGUGGCUUACCAAGGCUUUGACGGGUAGCCGGCCUGAGAGGGUGACCGGCCACAUUGGGACUGAGAUACGGCCCAGACUCCUACGGGAGGCAGCAGUGGGGAAUAUUGCACAAUGGGCGGAAGCCUGAUGCAGCAACGCCGCGUGGGGGAUGACGGCCUUCGGGUUGUAAACUCCUUUCACCAUCGACGAAGGGUUUCUGACGGUAGAUGGAGAAGAAGCACCGGCUAACUACGUG
rnacentral:rRNA from 1 species